rnacentral:rRNA from 2 species
GGGACUAAGCAUGGCGCCGA